CAUGACCCAAUCCUUAAUCCAUGGGCGUCCGCUGCCCUCUUCCCACCCUGACCUCCCGCCCUGCCCGUAUGACCACCCCCUACUCCCCUACUUACCCCCGCUACCACCUCCACCCCCUGAGGACAUGACCUUACGCUAUCAUCCCCUGCCGCGGCCACUAUCCCACCAACCGAUAUGGGGUGCAGUGGCACACACACGCACUAUAAGGAGGUACCAACUCCCGGUGGAAAAACCUGGAAGUGUGCUUUGCUGCGCCUGAGUUUUCCUGAAUCUUAGCAAAAUGUGCGGCUCUAUUGCGUCCUGCCGCGAGUCUGAACGAGAGUUUGAACGAUAGUCGUCGGAGAUCCUCGCCGGUGGAAUAGGUACCUGUCCAAGAAAACAAAAUACACCCACAAAAGCAGAGGGGAGAAUAAAAAGGGAAAAUGCAAGGGUUUCCAGAAGAAUUUCCGGCGGAAACAAAAUCCCAGACCUCUGGACAACCCAGUGUCUGUUGUGUCAAAGUCACCAAAAAUAUAGAAGAAUUUUAACGUAUUAGGUCAC
rnacentral:lncRNA from 1 species